rnacentral:rRNA from 1 species
GACGAACGCUGGCGGCAUGCCUAAUACAUGCAAGUCGAGCGGACUUGAUGGAGAAGCUUGCUUCUUCUGAAGGUUAGCGGCGGACGGGUGAGUAACACGUAGGCAACCUGCCUUUCAGUUUGGGAUAACUUCCGGAAACGGAUGCUAAUACCGAAUACAUCAUCUUCUGGCAUCAGAGGAUGAGGAAAGACGGCGCAAGCUGUCACUGAGAGAUGGGCCUGCGGCGCAUUAGCUAGUUGGUGGGGUAAUGGCUCACCAAGGCGACGAUGCGUAGCCGACCUGAGAGGGAGAACGGCCACACUGGGACUGAGACACGGCCCAGACUCCUACGGGAGGCAGCAGUAGGGAAUCUUCCACAAUGGGCGAAAGCCUGAUGGAGCAAUGCCGCGUGAGUGAUGAAGGUUUUCGGAUCGUAAAGCUCUGUUGCCAGGGAAGAACGUCCAGGUGAGUAACUGCACCUGGAGUGACGGUACCUGAGAAGAAAGCCCCGGCUAACUACGUGCCAGCAGCCGCCGUAA